AGAUAGAUCAUCAGUUAAAACCUAUUCUCUUCAAUCAUCUCAAUUCCAAAAAAUGAAGAUCUCUUUCUCUUCUGUUCUCUUCGUACUCAUGGUCGUUUUCAUCAUUUCUUCUUCAGGAAACAAGAAAAUGGUAGGAGAAGCAAAGGAUUGUUUUCAAACGUGGACGUGUGAAGGAGAAAAAAAAUGUAGAGAUAAGUGCACGGCUGAAUACAAAGGAAUUGGAAGGUGUGAUGAUAUCGUUGCUCCUAUAGUUCCUCCCCAGUGUAAUUGCUAUUAUCCUUGCUAAUAUCUCUAUACGUACAGCAAAUAAUGAUUUGUCUUAUAUGAUAAUAUGUAAACUUUUUAUCUGUUAAAUCUUAUGUGAUUCAAAGAAUAAAUAUAUCUCAAAGGUGAAA